UAAUACGGAGGGUCCAAGCGUUAUCCGGAUUCAUUGGGUUUAAAGGGUGCGCAGGCGGACCGAUAAGUCAGUGGUGAAAUCCUACAGCUCAACUGUAGAACUGCCAUUGAUACUGUCGAUCUUGAGUAUAGUUGAAGUGGGCGGAAUGUAUCAUGUAGCGGUGAAAUGCAUAGAUAUGAUACAGAACUCCGAUAGCGAAGGCAGCUUACUAAGCUGAAAUUGACGCUGAGGCACGAAAGCGUGGGGAGCGAACAGGAUUAGAUACCCUGGUAGUCCACGCCGUAAACGAUGAUUACUCGUUGUUGGCAAUACAUAGUCAGCGACUGAGCGAAAGCAUUAAGUAAUCCACCUGGGGAGUACGAUCGCAAGAUUG
rnacentral:rRNA from 1 species